rnacentral:rRNA from 1 species
GUGAGGAAUAUUGGUCAAUGGACGAGAGUCUGAACCAGCCAAGUCGCGUGAAGGAAGACGGUUCUAUGAAUUGUAAACUUCUUUUGUGCAGGAAUAAAGUGGGUUACGUGUAACCUUUUGUAUGUACUGUACGAAUAAGGAUCGGCUAACUCCGUGCCAGCAGCCGCGGUAAUACGGAGGAUCCGAGCGUUAUCCGGAUUUAUUGGGUUUAAAGGGUGCGUAUGUGGAUUGAUAAGUCAGCGGUGAAAGUUUGCAGCUUAACUGUAAAAUUGCCGUUGAAACUGUCGGUCUUGAGUGCAAAUGAGGUAGGCGGAAUGUGUUGUGUAGCGGUGAAAUGCUUAGAUAUAACACAGAACUCCGAUUGCGAAGGCAGCUUACUGGGAUGCAACUGAAACUGAUGCACGAAAGCGUGGGUAUCAAACAGGAUUAGAAACCCGGGUAGUCC